AGGACGAACGCUGGCGGCGUGCCUAAAACAUGCAAGUCGAACGAGACCCUCGGGUCUAGUGGCGAACGGCGGAGUAAUACGUGAACAACGUGCCCCCAAGUCUGGGACAAACGCAGAAAUGCCAUAAAUACCAGAUGUGGACGAGAGAGGACAUCCUCCUUCGUUUAAAGGUUUUUCGCUUAGGGAGCGGUUCACGGCCUAUCAGCUAGUUGGUGGGGUAAAAGCCUACCAAGGCGACGACGGGUAGGGGUCUGAGAGGAUGAUCCCCCGAGUGGGACUGAGACACGGCCCACACACCUACGGGUGGCAGCAG
rnacentral:rRNA from 1 species